AUUGAACGCUGGCGGCAGGCCUAACACAUGCAAGUCGAGCGGAUGAAGGGAGCUUGCUCCUGGAUUCAGCGGCGGACGGGUGAGUAAUGCCUAGGAAUCUGCCUGGUAGUGGGGGAUAACGUCCGGAAACGGGCGCUAAUACCGCAUACGUCCUGAGGGCGAAAGUGGGGGAUAUUCGGACCUCACGCUAUCAGAUGAGCCUAGGUCGGAUUAGCUAGUCGGUGGGGUAAAGGCCUACCAAGGCGACGAUCCGUAACUGGUCUGAGAGGAUGAUCAGUCACACUGGAACUGAGACACGGUCCAGACUCCUACGGGAGGCAGCAGUGGGGAAUAUUGGACAAUGGGCGAAAGCCUGAUCCAGCCAUGCCGCGUGUGUGAAGAAGGUCUUCGGAUUGUAAAGCACUUUAAGUUGGGAGGAAGGGCAGUAAGUUAAUACCUUGCUGUUUUGACGUUACCAACAGAAUAAGCACCGGCUAACUUCGUG
rnacentral:rRNA from 1 species